rnacentral:rRNA from 1 species
UACGAGGGGGGCUAGCGUUGCUCGGAAUCACUGGGCGUAAAGCGCACGUAGGCGGGUCUUUAAGUCAGGGGUGAAAUCCUGGAGCUCAACUCCAGAACUGCCUUUGAUACUGGCGAUCUCGAGUUCGGGAGAGGUGAGUGGAACUGCGAGUGUAGAGGUGAAAUUCGUAGAUAUUCGCAAGAACACCAGUGGCGAAGGCGGCUCACUGGCCCGAUACUGACGCUGAGGUGCGAAAGCGUGGGGAGCAAACAGG